AUCCAACUGACGAGUCUCGAAUAGGACGAAACGCGCGUCAAACUGGAU
rfam:Schistosoma rodhaini strain Burundi genome assembly, scaffold: SROB_scaffold0012499